CCCCCCCCCGAAGAACUAUGUUUGGUUUCAAGCGCUGAUGGAAACUGGGAAUCGGCAAAGAUUAUAUCUGAUCUGUAUCAAACACUGAAUCACUUAUUGCAUUUUCUGAAACAAAAGAUGACUCGAAACUUUUUCGGCAAUGUUCUUCCGGUAUAGAGACAUGCAGCAAUCUCUGUGUAACCACAAGGAAUAGUACAUAUUGGGUCCAUUAAUAAGGUCAUUUGUUCCAUCAGUUUGUUGCUGCUCAAUCAUAAUUGAUGACUACAAGAAGUAAAAUACUGAUUAAAGACGUGGUCUGUAAAUCAACACAAAGUAAGAAGAUAAUUGGAAACUGCUGCUAACUGAAUAAUCGUGGGAGAGAGAGUGUGGAACUGCCAUGAACUGCUGCUUCUAGAAGGAAUUUAGUGACUUUAAACGGCUGAGAUUAAAUGUUGAUGACUUUAAACGGCUGUAAUUAACCCAAAUGACGGUUACAAACAACGGGAACAAUAUAAUAUAGAAUAUUAAUUCUGUGGUUC